AUGCCCUCCAUGUCUGUGCCUCAGUUAUCCACUGGGAAGGCCUGGCUCAGCCACAGUUUUGCAGGCUGGGAAGUCCAAGAUCAACGCCUUGGCGUCUGGAGAGGGGCUCUUGCUCGUCCUCACGGGGUGCGAGGGGGAGGGCAGAGGACCCACUCCCACAGGCCCCAGCUGCCAACACUGUUGUGCUGGGGAGACAUCCAAACCAUGGCACGGGCACACCCGGUUUCUUGCUCCUACACACAUCUCUGCAAGGAAGAUCUCUCAACAUCAAAUUUUGAGCACCUGACUUUUGUUUUUUUGAAGAUUAUUUUAUUUGAAAGGCAGAGACUCAAACUUUCUCCCCCACUUCUCCCAGGCUGGAGCCUCCCGGGGAGGGGUGGGGGUGGGGGGAGAUGGCAGGAGAAAGAGGGGGACGCCUCCGGCCACCCCCUUCAGCCUGCACUGAGGAGGAAGUGGGCUCCCGCCCCCUUGUCCCCCAGGACCGGGCCACUUGCUGGGUGGGGGCAGUGGGUUCCAGCUCGGCUCACACUACGAAUGUAAGAACUUCAAACAAAAUUUCUAUUAAGUUUUGUGUCUCAAAAAAAAAAAAAAAAAAAAAGGAAAAAAAGGGGAGGGAGGGAAAGAGGGAGAGAGAGAGAGAGAGAGAGAGAUCUUCCAUGUGCUGGUUCACUCCCCACAUGGCUGCAACAGCUGGGUCAGGCAAGUCAGGAGCCAGGAGCUUCAUCUAGGUCUCCCACAUGGGGGGAGGGACCCAUCUACUUGGGCCAUCUCCUGCUGCUUUCCCAGGCCACUGGCAGGGAGCUGGAUUGGAAGUGGUGCAGCCUGGUCAUGAACGGGUGCCCAUAUGGGAUACCAGCGCUGCAGGCAGUGGCUUACCCCGCCACGCCACAAUGCUGGCCCCUAUGACUGUUCACAUUCCCAGGGAUGUUGAUGAAUUGGUUGGUGACAGGAACGUUCUUUCUCAUGACAGCUACUAUAAAGCAGUGGUCAAGGGCACAGGCUCUGAGGCCAGCAGCCCAGGUUUGAUUUGCAGCUCUGCCGCUUAUAGGCUGUGUGACCUUGGAUGAAUUAUUUAAUCUGCAUUUGUGAUGUGGGCCUGGUAGCAGUCCCGGCCUCCCAGGUCAGCCUUGUCUAUCCACGGGUUCAGGGUCUGAGGAUCCCACCACCCACAGAGUGGGUACCAUGUGGCAAGGCCCAAA
rnacentral:lncRNA from 1 species